AUCUUGCACAAUGGGGGCAACCCUGAUGCAGCGACGCCGCGUGAGCGAUGAAGCCCUUCGGGGUGUAAAGCUCUUUCGGCCCGAACGAUAAUGACGGUACGGGAAGAAGAAGCUGCGGCUAACUACGUGCCAGCAGCCGCGGUAAUACGUAGGCAGCGGGCGUUGUUCGGAGUUACUGGGCGUAAAGCGUGCGUAGGCGGUGUCCUAAGUUUGGUGUGAAAUCUCCCGGCUCAACUGGGAGGGUGCGCCGAAAACUGGGAUGCUGGAGUGUGGGAGAGGUAGGCGGAAUUCCUGGUGUAGCGGUGAAAUGCGUAGAUAUCAGGAGGAACACCUGUGGUGUAGACGGCUUACUGGACCGUAACUGACGCUGAGGCACGAAAGCGUGGGGAGCAAAC
rnacentral:rRNA from 1 species